GAUGAACGCUAGCGGCAGGCCUAACACAUGCAAGUCGAGGGGCAGCACAGAAAUUCAGCAAUGAGUUUUGGUGGCGACCGGCAGACGGGUGCGUAACGCGUGUGCAACCUACCCUUAACAGGGGAAUAACGGAGGGCAACUUCCACUAAUACCCCAUAACAUCCCAAGAGGCAUCGCUGGGGGUUGAAAGCUCCCGCGGUUAAGGAUGGGCACGCGUUGUAUUAGAUUGUUGGUGAGGUAACGGCUCACCAAGUCUACGAUACAUAGGGGGACUGAGAGGUUAACCCCCCACACUGGUACUGAGACACGGGCCAGACUCCUACGGGAGGCAGCAGUGAGGAAUAUUGGUCAAUGGACGCAAGUCUGAACCAGCCAUGCCGCGUGCAGGAAGACGGCUCUAUGAGUUGUAAACUGCUUUUGCAAGAGGAUAAUUGCGGGUACGUGUACCCGCUUGAAGGUACCUUGCGAAUAAGGAUCGGCUAACUCCGUGCCAGCCGCCGCAGUAACAC
rnacentral:rRNA from 1 species